UCAGACGAUGCGUCAUGCAUAUCAAUAAGCGGAGGAAAAGAAACUAACAAGGAUUCCCCUAGUAACGGCGAGUGAAGCGGGAAGAGCUCAAAUUUGAAAUCUUGAAAGGUCACCUUUCACGAAUUGUAGUUUAAAGAAGUGUUUUCUGUUACGAUCGUAAUAUAAGUUCUUUGGAAUAGGACAUCAUAGAGGGUGAGAAUCCCGUAUUAUGACCAUUGGAUUUGUCAGCUUUGUGAUACACUUCAAAGAGUCGGAUUGUUUGGGAAUGCAGUCCAAAAUGGGUGGUAAAUUUCAUCUAAAGCUAAAUAUUGGCGAGAGACCGAUAGCGAACAAGUACCGUGAGGGAAAGAUGAAAAGAACUUUGAAAAGAGAGUUAAACAGUACGUGAAAUUGUCAAAAGGGAAGCGUUUGACACCAGUGUUGUUUUCUCGAAAAUCAAUUAAAAAUGGCUCGAUUUUGUAUUGCUGAGACCUUAAAAGCUCACUGUACAUUUUUCGUGUCUUUUUUAAUGCACUUUUCGUUUAACAAGUCAACAUCAGUUUCUUUUGUUGUAAAAGGGUCAUUGGAAGGUGGCUUUCUUUUCGGAGAAAGUGUUUAUAGCCUUUGGCCUCUGCAAUCGGAGAGACUGAGGUCUGCAGCGUAGACUCUUCGGGGUUAGAUACAUUUGUGCUAAGUUAUAGCUUUUUAUAGACAACUUGUUGACUAUAAUUAGUCUUGUAGCUUACUCGCUUAUGCUAUUUUACCUACGCUUAGGAUGUUGACUGAUAUGUAGUCGUA
rnacentral:rRNA from 1 species